AGCGAACGCUGGCGGCAGGCCUAACACAUGCAAGUCGAACGAACCUUUCGGGGUUAGUGGCGGACGGGUGAGUAACACGUGGGAACGUGCCUUUAGGUUCGGAAUAACUCAGGGAAACUUGUGCUAAUACCGAAUGUGCCCUUCGGGGGAAAGAUUUAUCGCCUUUAGAGCGGCCCGCGUCUGAUUAGCUAGUUGGUUGAGGUAAUGGCUCACCAAGGCGACGAUCAGUAGCUGGUCUGAGAGGAUGAUCAGCCACAUUGGGACUGAGACACGGCCCAAACUCCUACGGGAGGCAGCAGUGGGGAAUCUUGCGCAAUGGGCGAAAGCCUGACGCAGCCAUGACGCGUGAAUGAUGAAGGUCUUAGGAUUGUAAAAUUCUUUCACCGGGGACGAUAAUGACGGUACCCGGAGAAGAAGCCCCGGCUAACUUCGUG
rnacentral:rRNA from 1 species